GGGAACUGUGAGACAGGUGCUGCAUGGCUGUCGUCAGCUCGUGUUGUGAAAUGUUGGGUUAAGUCCCGCAACGAGCGCAACCCUUAUCCUUUGUUGCCAGCGGUUAGGCCGGGAACUCAAAGGAGACUGCCAGUGAUAAACUGGAGGAAGGUGGGGAUGACGUCAAGUCAUCAUGGCCCUUACGACCAGGGCUACACACGUGCUACAAUGGCGCAUACAAAGAGAAGCGACCUCGCGAGAGCAAGCGGACCUCAUAAAGUGCGUCGUAGUCCGGAUUGGAGUCUGCAACUCGACUCCAUGAAGUCGGAAUCGCUAGUAAUCGUAGAUCAGAAUGCUACGGUGAAUACGUUCCCGGGCCUUGUACACACCGCCCGUCACACCAUGGGAGUGGGUUGCAAAAGAAGUAGGUAGCUUAACCUUCGGGAGGCGCUACCACU
rnacentral:rRNA from 1 species